GAAACUGUGGUUAGUAUAUAGUGUGUGAGAAAAAAAAAUCUCAUUUUUAGUAAAGUAACUAAAAUUAUAUUGAAACUAUGUUUAUGUGUUAUACAUUAUAUAAUAAUAUAUUUAUUACACACAGAUAUAUAGUACUUUGAUGGGUUCCCAGCUCUCUCACAUGAGAGUUACAACCAUUGCUAACUCUGUAUCCAGGGCAUCUGAUGUCCUCUUCUCUUUGGGCACCAGGCAUAUAUAUAGUACAAGACAUGUAGGCAAAACACUCAUAUACAUAAAUACAUCUAAAUUUUUUUCAAAAACUAAAUAAAUGUUUUUUAUUAUUAUUGGCAUGGUUAUAAAUAUCUUCUUCGCAUUUGUGAUAUUUUUCUUUAAUUACAGCCUUGUGCAAAGUAAAAAUUCAUACUUUUAAAUAAAAAUGUCAGCCCUUUCCUUUCUGGUUAUUGCUUGUGUCUUUUAAAACUUAAUUUCAAAGAUUUAUUUUUUAUUUAUUUAUUUUUUAGGGAAAUAUUAAUCAAUUUUAUGUAAUGUUCUUUUAUGUAUGUAUGUAUGUGUAUAUGUAUUUAUUUUUAUUAGAUAUUUUCUUUAUAUACAUUUCAAAUGCUAUCCUGAAAGUCCCUAUACCCUCCCUCCGCCCUGCUCCCCUACCCACCCACUCCCGCUUUAACGAUUUAUUUUUAAGUUAAGUGUGGGUAUCUGGGUGUGGGUGUACACAUGUAAGUCAGAGGACUAGCACAUUGGAUCUCCUAGAGCUGGAGUUUCACGGGUGCUGGGAAUCCCAGGGCCUACGUAAGAGCGCAUGUAUCCUAGCUUGCUGGGCCAACUCUCCAGCCUGUUUCUUAACUUUCUUUGUUUGUUUUGUUUUUUAUGUGUUUUGCUUUUUUGUGUUUUGUUUUGUUUUGUUUUGUUUUGUUUUGUUUUGUUUUAAGAAAUCCUCUAACUCGACAGCAUCUCUUCCUAGAUCGAGGGCUUGAAGAGAGAGCUUCUUGUUGUGUGCUAGGCAAGCCUUCUUUCACUGAGCCACAUCUCUAGUUUUCCAGUUAACUCUGGUAUAAUGACUUUUAUUUCAUAAUUGUGUUUUGAAUCCACCAGGAAUUAGCUUCAGGGAUUGGUGGAACCAGGAUUUGGACAAUUGGUUUCUGUGCAUUGUUUGUCUCAGCACUGGUUGUAGGUGAUGCCUUCUUGCUCAUUUCAGUUUCCUUCAUCUAGUUUGUGCCUGGCAUAUAAUAGCCUCAGUGAAUGAAUUUGAAUAAAGCACUUAUCUUGAUAGUCUCAACCUUUCUGUAGGUUUUUUUAUGGUCUUCACAACAUAGUCUAACUUACAAAUUGAUUUUUAAAACCUUGUUACUGCAUUCCUACUUAUUUAAAUACCUUUUUUGUGUUAGUAAAGUACUGUUGAAACUAACUAAAUAUUUGUUUAAAUUUCUUUUUAUCUGUUUUGAAUCUUCUUUAAGGUAUCUUCAUACUUAUGGAACCUCUUUGAUACAUUUUGUUGAGCUGCUGGUCUCAGACUGUGUUUCUGAUCCCUUAAAGAAUAUUAGAGACAUAUGGAAGCAUGUAAAAUGCUAAGUGUCAUCUGGGCUGCCCCAGUCUAGUGAAACUGGCAUUUUUAAAAUUUAUACAUAAAUAUUAACAAUAGCCAAAAGUUAUAGAAAACUCAGUUGGUCAUCAACAGGUGAAGAGAGAAAUGUUUGUGGUGUAUACAUAUAAUGGGAUUAAGGUGAAACAUAAAAAAAGAUGAUUUUCAUGCCAUAACAAGCAUGAACCUUGAAAACAUGCUAUGAAAUGAAAGAAUUUAGAACCAAAGGGCACAUACUGUAUGAAUGUUUUUAUAUGAUAUAAUCAGAACAACCAGUUCUAUAAAGAUAGAAAAUAAAAUACUAGUUGCCAAGGACUUGGUAGAUGGGAAGAUAAGGGAUCCUUUAAGGUGUGUACUAUAUUCCAAGGUGAUGAAAAGAUUUUAAGGGUUGAUAGCAAGUUGUACUAAAUUUCGCCAUCAAUUAUAUACUUUAACAUGAUUAGUUGCAUAUUACAUAAAUUUAACUUAAAAUGUAAAUAAGCCUAUAAAAUGUAAAUAAACCUAACCUGAUUAAUUAUUUAAAAAUUAUAUUACCUUGUAGUUUUAUUUAUGUUUUAAAUUUUUGUGUGUAUGUAGAUGACAUGCCUGUGCAUAUGCCAGAAGAGGAUGUAGAGCAUCACUUUCUGCCUUAUUCCCUUAUUCCUUAUUUCCUAAAAGCUCAUUAAACUUGAAGCUCACCAUUUUGGCAAGGUUGGCUUGGCCAGUGAACUCCAGGGAUUCACUUGUUUCUGUCUCCCAGUUUUGGGGUUAUAAGUCAUGGCUGGCUUUUAAGUGUUGAAACAUUUCUUUCAGUGGUAUCAUUGUUUUUAUAAAUAUUUUACAGAUUUUGGUAAGUAAUUAUUAAAUGUUAAACUUGAAAUUUAAUAGAAACACAUCUACUGAUAGAAAAUUUUAAAUGCAGUUUAAUUCAUGUACUUGUGUGUGAAUGCUACAGGGUUCUGAGUUCUGUUCCUUUACAAUUAAUAUAGAAUUUUUGGUUUAUAUAGAAUAUAAGUACUGAAAGCCCUUUCAGUAAGGAGCUGGUGAUGGAAUGGCACUGAAGUAGUAGCAAUGUCACUCAGUUCUUCCGAGUCAUGUGCCAAAACGCAUACAGUAAUUUAAUAUAACUUUUACUUUUAAUGAAAUAUCAGCUGACACUUGAGAUUUUCUUCAGUAUUUUUGAAAAAGGAAAAGAACUGGAAAGCAGCUCACUGGCGUGAGAAUGAGCUAGUUAUUAGAGUCCCUGCACCAGGACCUCCACUUGGCUACACUUAGUGCCUCAGAGUUAACCUGACAGGAAGAAAAAUAACAUAAAAAGAUAAGUUCCUAGUACACAGGCAGAGUAGUUUUUAAAAUAAUUAUGUGUAAAAGAUGAAAAUCUUCUGAUGCCGUAAGACUGUCCUUGCCCAGGUACCAUGUACAAAAUACUAGUGUACCUGCAGAGCCUUCUCUAAAGUGUUCUUCUUCCCUGCCAGGCUGUAAACAGUUUAGAGUGCCUGUUUACCGUGAAUGAAGAGUUAGUUAAAAAAGAAAGGGAAGGAAGAAAUGGCCCUAAAGAUUUUUCUGCAGAAU
rnacentral:lncRNA from 1 species